rfam:Populus trichocarpa scaffold_14_contig_119, whole genome shotgun sequence.
GUAGGGAAAUGAUGAAAGUUACAACAGAUUAUUAAAGGAGCUAUCGAUGCUGAAUAAUCAUUUGCACGUCAGUCUGAUCCUGAA